rnacentral:rRNA from 1 species
GACGAACGCUGGCGGCGUGCUUAACACAUGCAAGUCGAACGCUGAAGCUUGGUGCUUGCACUGGGUGGAUGAGUGGCGAACGGGUGAGUAAUACGUGAGUAACCUGCCCUUGACUCUGGGAUAAGCCUGGGAAACUGGGUCUAACACUGGAUAUGACAUGUCACCGCAUGGUGGUGUGUGGAAAGGGUUUUACUGGUUUUGGAUGGGCUCACGGCCUAUCAGCUUGUUGGUGGGGUAAUGGCUCACCAAGGCGACGACGGGUAGCCGGCCUGAGAGGGUGACCGGCCACACUGGGACUGAGACACGGCCCAGACUCGUACGGGAGGCAACAGUGGGAAAUAUUACACAAUGGGCGAAAGCCUGAUGAAGCGACGCCGCGUGUGGGAUGACGGCCUUCGGGUUGUGAACCGCUUUCAGCAAGGAAGAAGCGAAAGUGACGGUACGUGCAGAAGAAGCACCGGCUAACUACGUG